GAGCUAAUACAUGCUAAGGCCGCAAGGUUGUAUUUAUUAGAUAUUCCGAUAAGGUGAAUCAUAAUAACUUCGCAGAUCUCAUCCUUGAUGAGAUAAAUCAUCCAAGUUUCUGCCCUAUCAUGCUUUCGUUGGUAGUGUAUUGGACUACCAUGGCUCUCACGGGUAACAGGGAAUUAGGGUUCGAUUCUGGAGAAGGAGCCUGAGAAACGGCUACUACAUCUACGGAAGGCAGCAGGCGCGUAAAUUACCCAAUCCUGACUCAGGGAGGUGGUGACAAGAUAUAACAACGAGAUAAUUUAUCUCGAUUGUAGUGAGGG
rnacentral:rRNA from 1 species